CUUUGAAAACAAAUAGAGAUAACUGAAGGAAAGAAAAAGGCAAAAUAAUUGUUUUGGUUUCAUCUUUUUCAGUGUUUCUGGGGGCAGAGCCAAGAUGGUGGAGCAGAACAGAGAAGCUCUGAGUUACCAUGAGAAUCCUCUCCAACAGGAGUGAAGAACCAACAAGGAGACAGAGUAAAACAACUUUCAAGAAAAGAAAACCCCUAAAAGAACCAGGGAUGAAUCCAGAAAAAAAUGUCGCGGCAGACCCAACGUCACAGCACAUUUCAUUGUUUUCCUACUAAAUGAGUUCUUCCCAGAACCUUUAUGUCGAAGAAGCUCUCUUUCUCGUUCCUAGACACAGCAGUGUACCCUGUGAGCAGAUAGUGCCUUCACAUCAACAUCCAUCCCUUUUCAGCUAUUCUUUAUGUGUUAUCUUUUCCCAUUAAAAAUUGUCUUUUCCCUAUUCCUUGGAUGUCUUUUUGAUUGAAUUUGUUUCCCCUGA
rnacentral:lncRNA from 1 species